AACACAUUCAAAUGUGCUUGCCUUUAAUCUGUAAGGUGGUGUUCAUACUGGAUUUAUAGUUCACGUGACGUCAUUGCGGUUUUUUUAAGAGGGUUUGGAAAAUUGAUCAAUAACAAGAUACAUAACAUUCGAGAAUUCACACUCCAACCCUUCAAGCAAGAAAACUGAGUUCAACAAAGAAACUCCGACCUCAGACCGCGAAAAUCGGGGUUGCACUCACACACUUGCAACUUUUUGUGUAUGAACACAAAAGUCGAACGAGAAUCGUGGUGAAAAAUGAGAAAAGGAAAAGAAAGACAAGGCCAACAAGAGCCAAAGCGUCAUUUUGUUAUUUUUUGUUGAAGUUUUUGGUCGCGUCGUGUCUCGUGUCGUUGUUUGUAUAAUGUUAGAUUAUUAACUAUAAACAAUUAUAUUAAAUUUAUAAACAAUAUGGAAAACAAAAAAGAUGUAAUCUCUAAUGAUGAAGAAAAAUCCAGAAGGUGAAACAUGCGAUUUGGUAUCUAAAAAAAAAACACCAGCAACAGCAGCAGCAUUAAAU